AUUGAACGCUGGCGGCAUGCCUUACACAUGCAAGUCGAACGGCAGCACGGGUGCUUGCACCUGGUGGCGAGUGGCGAACGGGUGAGUAAUACAUCGGAACAUGUCCUGUAGUGGGGGAUAGCCCGGCGAAAGCCGGAUUAAUACCGCAUACGAUCUACGGAUGGAAGCGGGGGACCUUCGGGCCUCGCGCUAUAGGGUUGGCCGAUGGCUGAUUAGCUAGUUGGUGGGGUAAAGGCCUACCAAGGCGACGAUCAGUAGCUGGUCUGAGAGGACGACCAGCCACACUGGGACUGAGACACGGCCCAGACUCCUACGGGAGGCAGCAGUGGGGAAUUUUGGACAAUGGGCGAAAGCCUGAUCCAGCAAUGCCGCGUGUGUGAAGAAGGCCUUCGGGUUGUAAAGCACUUUUGUCCGGAAAGAAAUCCUUGGCCCUAAUACGGUCGGGGGAUGACGGUACCGGAAGAAUAAGCACCGGCUAGCUACGUG
rnacentral:rRNA from 1 species